AUUGAACGCUGGCGGCAUGCUUUACACAUGCAAGUCGAACGGUGACAGGCCGCAAGGUGCUGACGAGUGGCGAACGGGUGAGUAAUGCAUCGGAACGUGCCCAGUCGUGGGGGAUAACGCAGCGAAAGCUGUGCUAAUACCGCCUACGAUCUAUGGAUGAAAGCGGGGGACCGUAAGGCCUCGCGCGAUUGGAGCGGCCGAUGUCAGAUUAAGUAGUUGGUGGGGUAAAGGCUCACCAAGCCAACGAUCUGUAGCUGGUCUGAGAGGACGACCAGCCACACUGGGACUGAGACACGGCCCAGACUCCUACGGGAGGCAGCAGUGGGGAAUUUUGGACAAUGGGCGCAAGCCUGAUCCAGCAAUGCCGCGUGCAGGAAGAAGGCCUUCGGGUUGUAAACUGCUUUUGUACGGAACGAAAAGGUUUGGGUUAAUACCCUGGGCCGAUGACGGUACCGUAAGAAUAAGCACCGGCUAACUACGUGCCAGCAGCCGCCGUAA
rnacentral:rRNA from 1 species